rnacentral:rRNA from 1 species
GACGAACCGUGCGAACGUUGUUCGGAUUCACUGGGCUUAAAGGGCGCGUAGGCGGGGGGUCAAGUCUGAGGUGAAAUCUUUCGGCUCAACCGGAAAAGUGCCUUAGAUACUGACUCUCUCGAGGGGGUAGGGGCAGUGUGGAACUUCCGGUGGAGCGGUGAAAUGCGUAGAUAUCGGAAGGAACGCCGGUGGCGAAGCGACGUGCUG